rnacentral:rRNA from 1 species
UACGGAGGGUGCGAGCGUUGUCCGGAAUCACUGGGCGUAAAGGGCGCGUAGGCGGCGCGGAUAGUCGGCGGUGAAAGCCCGGAGCUCAACUCCGGGUCGGCCGUCGAUACUUCCGGGCUUGAGCACUGUAGAGGCAGAUGGGAUUCCGGGUGUAGCGGUGGAAUGCGUAGAGAUCCGGAAGAACACCGGUGGCGAAGGCGGUCUGCUGGGCAGUUGCUGACGCUGAUGCGCGACAGCGUGGGGGAGCAAACAGG